GUGCUUGCUUCGGCAGCACAUACUAAAAGUUGGAAUGAUACAGAGAAAGAAGAUUCGCAUGGCCCCUGCACGAGGACGAUGGUAAGGUCUAACGUGUGAGCCACUUUA
rnacentral:snRNA from 1 species